GAGUGGGCGGGACGGUCGCUGGUCAUCUUUUUGGUGACUGGAGGAAAGUCCGGGCUCCGAAGGACAGGGUGGUCGAUAACGUCGACCAGCCGCGAGGUUAGGGAAAGUGCAGCAGAGAGUAGACCGCCGAACGGUUCGGUUGAGUGCUUCGGCACCCAGCCAGAUGCGUGGUAAGGCUGAAACGGUGCGGUAAGAGCGCACCAGCGGUCGGGGUGACUCGAUCGGCUUGGUAAACCCCACCCGGAGCUAGAUCAAACAGAAUGAAGGCGGCAGAUUCAGUUCUGGCGUCACGAGGCGGUCCGUCUCGUUGGACAUUCGGGUAGAUCGCAAUGGAGGCGGCGAGCAAUCGUCGUGCACAGAUAAAUGACCGUCGACGGGAUUGCAGCUGUGAUCCCGGACACAGAACCCGGCUUACAAGCCCACUCA
rnacentral:RNase_P_RNA from 1 species